ensembl:lncRNA
AGCUAGCAGGGGGUGGAUGUGAGGAGCUAGCAGGGUGGAGGCUAGCAGGGUGGAUGUGUAGAGCUAUGAGGGUGGGUGUGUAGAGCUAUCAGGGUGGAUGUGUAGAGCUAUCAGGGUGGAUGUGUAGAGCUAGCAGGGUGGAGGCUAGCAGGGUGGAUGUGUAGGGCUAUCAGGGUGGAUGUGUACAGCUAGCAGGGUGGAGGCUAGCAGGGUGGAGGCUAGCAGGGUGGAUGCUAGCAGGGUGGAGGCUAUCAGGGUGGAUGUUAGAGCUAGCAGGGUGGAUGUGUACAGCUAGCAGGGUGGAUGUGUUAGCAGGGUGGAUGUGUAGGGCUAUGAGGGUGGAUGUGUUAGCAGGGUGGAUGUGUAGGGCUAUGAGGGUGGAUGCAGGCUGGAUGUUUGACGUCAUUGUGGGUGUGAUUGAUGAACAGAAGGCUUAGUGAGGCAGAGGAUGUGUCGGAACCUUUCAGAUAUAUUAAACCCUGCAUGUGCCGGUGUGUGUGUGUGUGUGUGUGUGUGUGUGUGUGUGUGUGUGUGUGUGUGCGUAUGUGAGUGCGUGUGUGUGUGUGUGUGUGUGUGUAAUGAAGUAGAUGCUAGAUGGGGUGCGGAGUAAUGAAUGGGGAGAGAUUUUAUGAUUACGAUUAUUAAUUCGCUGAAAAGCUUUGCUGCGUUCUGAUUGGCUUGUAGACAGCCUUGAUGGACCCCCUCCCUCUUGACACACACACACACACACACACACACACACACACACACACACACACACACACACACACACACACACACACACACAACCUGUAUUUAAUAACUGCCUAAAGAAAAGUAUGGCGGUGGCAGCAGGCCGUCUGGUUGCCGUGGUGACGGCGAGGUAAUGACGUUAGGAAGCAGAGAGAGUAGGACAGCAUCCUGCACACACAUACACACACAAACACACACACAGACACACACACACAUAGAGACACACAGACACACACACACACACGCACACACACACACACACACACACACACACACAGAGACAGAUAUAGACACUCACACACACCCACACAGAGACACAAACACACCCACACACACUCUCAUAAACACACACACACACUCCCCUGCCACGCUCCUGAAGGCUGUAAAAACAACUGCAAGGACACUUUAAUGUAACGGCUCCAUGUCUUUAAAUCUCUCGACCUCUAUCUUUACCUCUCCUUUCUACACUUUACCAAUGUUUAACCCUCUUUACCUCUAUUUACCACUCUUUAGCUCUGACUCUAUUUACAUCUCUUUACUUCUAUUUACCUCUCAGUUCCUCUCCGUUCCUCUAUAUACUCUCUUCACCUCUAUUUAACUCUAUCUACUUCUAUUUACCACUCUUUACUUCUAAUUACCACUCUCAUCAUCUUCGUUAGAUAUAGUUUUGGAAUCAUCUGAUUUCAAUAUUUUUCCAAUAUUUCUAUUUGAGGAUAGUGCAAAUCAAUUGAUCAUCAUUAGAAUCACAUGAUCAUCAUUAGGAUCAAAUGAUCCUCAUAGAAUCACAUGUUAAUCAUUAGAAUCACCGGAUCAUCAUUCAAAUCACAUGAUCAUUAGAAUCACAUGUUAAUCAUUAGAAUCACAUGAUCCUCAGUAGAAUCACAUGAUCAUUGUUAGAAUAACAUUUUCAUCCUUAGAAUCACUCGAUCAUUAGAAUCACAUGGUCAUCAUUAGAAUCACAUGAUCAUUAGAAUCACAGGAUCAUCAUUACAAUCACAUGAUCUUCAGUACAAUCACAUCAUCCUCAUUAGAAUCACAUGAUCAUCAUUAGAAACACAUGAUCAUCAUUAGAAUCCCCUGAUCAUCAUUAGAAUCCCAUGAUCUUCAUUAGAAUCAGAUGAUCCUCAAUAGAAUUUCAUGAUCACAUGAUCAUCAUUAGGAUCAUGAAACUGUUACAGGCCAUCUGAGGUUGGCUUUGUAGCUCCUGACGAACGCUUCUGCGUUGAACUCAAGAUAACUGCAGUUUAACUCCGGCAGUGAACUAUGUUGUGAUCAUGGUCAAUGCUUCUGAGUACACCAGGAUACUUAGUCUGCAGAAAAGUGUUUCUAAAAUAAUAGAAUAGUGUUAUAAUAAUGUCAGCAGAGGUCCCUCCCGGAGGUGUCAGUGUAGCGAGACCACAUAUCUGUGGUCUAACAGUGCAAUUAUGUAAGCAGGAACUAUUUUUCGCUGCAUCACACUCUUGCUUUGACUGCUGCAGUACCUUUCAGAACACUGCAGAUAUAUGGAUAUUUAACAGCAAUGCAGACGUUGAUCCAGUUUCCCCCCCACCAGAAUACCUCGGUAUUAGGACUGCAUGGGGAACAUGUUAUGUAUCGAUUAUUAUAUUGAUUUCAACAGGGAUAGCGAUAUGGUUGGACAAUCAUUAACUAGUAUAAAUCUAACAAAUGAAAACUAAAACUUUAAAUUGUAGUUCAUGCUUGAUCUAUUCUUUUCUUCAUUAUGAUUAACAACCAAUAUAUUAUAACAACAUUUAAUAAAUGCUUUGACUACUUUUCAAAUGAUUAAAAUCAGUAGUAAGUAUUUGUCUAUGGGAUGAAGCAUUUUUCAUGGUGUUUAAUCCUACAAAGCUCUGAGCCGAUUCUCCUAAAUAAAUAUAAGAAUCUGUUCCAUAAUCUAUUCCUGUCCUUAGUGGCCUGCUCUUCUAGUUUUCUGCGAGAAUUAUUAAUCACAUGUAUUAUUAUAAUCAAAAAUGUUAGUCAAUCUUACAUGUUUUUCGUAAAAAAUGAUAUUUAAUCCUGUAUAUUAUAACACUAACACAUAACCUACACAUUAUGAUCCUACUUAUAAUCAUAACCUACAUGUUAUAAUCCUAUAUGCUAAAAUCAUAACCUAAAUGUUAUAAUCCUACAAGCUAAAAUAAUAACCUAUAUGUUAUGAUCCUACAAGUUAUAAUCAUAACAUACACUUCAUUACCUACAUGUUAUAAUCCUACAUGUCAUAAUCAUAACCUACAUGUUAUAAUCCUAAGAAUAAUAAUCAUAAAAUCCAAUUUAUAAUGCCACGUGUUUUAAUUGUAACAUGCACUUUAUGAUCCUACAUUUGAUAAUGUUAACCUUCAUGUUAUAAUCCUACAUGUUAUAAUCAUAACCGACAUGUUAUUAUCCUACAUGUUAUAAUCAUAAAGUCAUUUUGUAAACCCUGAUGUUAUCAUCAUAACCUGCAUGUUGUGAUCCUUCAUUCAAUAUUCAUUACCUACAUAUUAUAAUCCUACAUGUUAUAAUUAUAACCUACAUGUCAUUGACCUCAUCUUCAUGUGAUAAUCGUAAAUUAUUAUCAUAAACUCAUUAUUGACAUUAAGUUAUAUAUUUACACUUAUAAUUUAAA